rnacentral:rRNA from 1 species
AUUGAACGCUGGCGGCACGCCUAACACAUGCAGGUCGAACGGCAUCACGAAGUAGUUUACUACUUUGGUGGCGAGUGGCGGACGGGUGAGUAACGCGUAGGAAUAUGCCUUUAAGACUGGGAUAGCCUUGGGAAACUGAGGGUAAUACCGGAUGAGCUCUAAGGAGGAAAGCUGUGGACCAGAGAUGGCCUGGCGCUUAAAGAAUAGGCUGCGUCUGAUUAGCUAGUUGGUGGGGUAAAGGCCUACCAAGGCGACGAUCGGUAGCUGGACUGAGAGGUUGGACAGCCACACUGGGACUGAGACACGGCCCAGACUCCUACGGGAGGCAGCAGUGGGGAAUAUUGGACAAUGGGGGGAACCCUGAUCCAGCGAUGCCGCGUGUGUGAAGAAGGCCUGAGGGUUGUAAAGCACUUUCAGUGGGGAGGAGGGAUUUUUGGUUAAGAGCUAGAGAUUGAGACGUUACCCACAGAAGAAGCACCGGCUAACUCCGUGCCAGCCGCCGCAGUAA